GUUUAAAUACAAAAUGUGUUUAUAAUUUGGUGCUUUAUUUAAAUAAAGGAUUGAAUACGGAAUACUGAACUGAGUAUGUCAUGCUGGGGAGGCUGGAAUCAUUGCUUCAUCACAUAGAAUACUUCACGGUAGAUCAAAAAUGAAAACUGAGGGGCUGUUUUCUCACAUAAGGGUUUUUCCUCAUGGAAUAGAUUUCUGGAACAAGGAUUAAAGCUGAUUCCUACAUCUUGCAAAGGAUCUGUAAUAAAAAAAAGUGUUUAAGCUGGAUUAAAAAAAAACAACAACUAUACUAUAUAUCAAACCAAUAGCUGAAAGGAAAACAAAAUUGUCUUAUUUUCAUCUUCUUUAAGAAAUAGUAGAAAUCUCCUGGUGUGUUUGUUUGCAUAUAGACACUGACCUGAUGAAGGAAGUUAAUGAGUAAAGGAUCCAACUGAUGCUCCUUGACGUGUGGAAUGCCUCU